rnacentral:rRNA from 1 species
UGCAAGUCGAACGAAGUAGCAAUACUUAGUGGCAGACGGGUGAGUAACAUGUAGGUAUCUACCCUAUGGCCUGGAAUAACACGAGGAAACUUGUGCUAAUACCGGAUAAGUCUUUACGGAGAAAGCUUUAUGCACCAUUGGAUGAGCCUGCACUUGAUUAGUUUGUUGGUGGGGUAAUGGCCUACCAAGACUGUGAUCAAUAGCUGAUUUGAGAGGAUGAUCAGCCACAUUGGGACUGAGACACGGCCCAAACUCCUACGGGAGGCAGCAGUGGGGAAUCUUGCACAAUGGAGGAAACUCUGAUGCAGCGAUGCCGCGUGAGUGAAGAAGGCCCUUGGGUUGUAAAGCUCUUUCGUCGGGGAAGAAAAUGACUGUACCCGAAUAAGAAGGUCCGGCUAACUUCGUGCCAGCAGCCGCGGUAAUACGAAGGGACCUAGCGUAGUUCGGAAUUACUGGGCUUAAAGAGUUCGUAGGUGGUUGAAAAAGUUGGUGGUGAAAUCCCAGAGCUUAACUCUGGAACUGCCAUCAAAACUUUUCAGCUAGAGUAUGAUAGAGGAAAGCAGAAUUUCUAGUGUAGAGGUGAAAUUCGUAGAUAUUAGAAAGAAUACCAAUUGCGAAGGCAGCUUUCUGGAUCAUUACUGACACUGAGGAACGAAAGCAUGGGUAGCGAAGAGGAUUAGAUACCCUCGUAGUCCAUGCCGUAAACGAUGUGUGUUAGACGUUGGAAAUUUAUUUUCAGUGUCGCAGCGAAAGCGAUAAACACACCGCCUGGGGAGUACGACCGCAAGGUUAAAACUCAAAUGAAUUGACGGGGACCCGCACAAGUAGUGGAGCAUGUGGUUUAAUUCGAAGAUACGCGCAGAACCUUACCAACACUUGACAUGUUCGUCGCGACUUUAAGAGAUUAAAGUUUUCGGUUCGGCCGGACGAAACACAGGUGCUGCAUGGCUGUCGUCAGCUCGUGUC